rfam:Gossypium raimondii Chr08_contig_863, whole genome shotgun sequence.
GGGGAUGUAGCUCAAAUGGUAGAGCACUCGCUUUGCAUGCGAAAGGCACGAGCUUCAAUCCCUCGCAUCUCCA